AUAUUAAUAAAUUAUCUUUCAUUGCCUCAUCCUCCUGGUGUCCUGAUGACUGCACAGCCCUCACCCCAGCACCUGUAACACUGGAUUCAUUGAACUCACCUAUUGAAACAUCUGCAUCCAGAUUGGACUGUCAAGUUGUGCUCUUACUCAUCUCUGUCAACCCUGUCUACCAUAAUCCUAAGCACAUUAGAACCACUAACUUGGUAAAUGAAUGAAUUAUUUUUCCACAUUCUGCCUAUAUUCUGCCCAAAUUCUAGUAAUACAGAUGCAAUUUCAGUAGAAAUAACAAUUCCCCAUUCAUGAGUAGUUGCAUUGCCAAAUAAAGUCUUCCUCUGGCUUCUCACUCACAGUCCAAGAAUUAAGCAGGCAAUGCUGAGGAUGGUAAAGAAGCUGUGAGACUCAAGACUAAUCCCGUUUCCAGACCUGCUUUCCCUGAAUACCCAAAACUUCACCUGGGAGUAACCCACCAGCUAAUCGACAGAAACAUGCAUUAUGUUCCAAGAAAAACAGGGUCUCUUAAAUUGGAAGCACCACACCACUUCAUAUUUAGAAAACCUAACUGAGCCUCACAUUUGGGAUUGGUGGACACAACUGGCAGAGAUCUCUACACAAAUGAGGUGGUGCCACCUGUAUCCUUGAUGGGGCCUCCUUCAGGGAAAGGAUUCCUGUGGGCCAUGUCCUCUGACCUGGCCUGAUUCAGUGGAGAAGUGGAUUGAACAACAUAAGAAGACAUCAGAAAGGUAAGACCCCAAGGUUCUGAGUCCCAGUCAGGCCCACCUCCGGAAGAAGGGGAGACUGAU
rnacentral:lncRNA from 1 species